UACAGAGGGUGCGAGCGUUAAUCGGAAUUACUGGGCGUAAAGCGUGCGUAGACGGUUACAUAAGUCGGGGUGUGAAAGUCCCGGGCUCAACCUGGGAAUUGCAUUCGAGACUGCGUAGCUAGGGUGCGGAAGAGGGAAGCGGAAUUUCCGGUGUAGCGGUGAAAUGCGCAGAUAUCGGGAGGAACACCAAUUGCGAAGGCAGCUCGCUGGGACGUUACUGACGCUGAGACGCGAAAGCGUGGGGAGCAAACAGG
rnacentral:rRNA from 1 species